CCCGGAAGAGCACCGACAGCCCUGCUCUGGAAGCGCGUGUCUGCUUAGAUGUCCUGAGCAAUUUAUUGCACCAGGCUCUGGAAGGGAAGUUGCAAAUGAGGAGUUCAGUGGAUUUCUAACCAGGUCCAAUUUCACCGGAGCGGAGUCCCGCGGGGACCAGCAGGUUCUUUCUCGCUCCGGGAGAGGGCGCUCCUGCCCGGUGUUUGUAGCGGCGGCUUCCUGGCCGCUUCCCAGCGUGGAUUUGCACCCUGUGGAUUUCCUGCGGGUGGGCGGUGCAUGACCCUGGUUGGGAUCCUUGUUUACCCCAGCGUCCCGAGGAGCUGGGACUACAAGUGCCCACCACCACGCCCGGCUAAUUUUUUUUGGUAUUUUUUUGGUAGAGAUGGGCUUUCACCGUGUUAGCCAGGAUGGUCUGGAUCUCCUGACCUCGUGAUCCGCUAGCCUUGGCCUCCCAGAGUACUGGGAUUACUAGUUUGCUUUUUCUAAGGAGCUCUUAAUAGCCUAAUUUAUCAUUUCCCCUUUACAGUUUAUGAUUUUUGUUCUCUUUGAGAAAUCUUUUCCUAUUCUAAGAACAAAGCGAUAUUAUGUUUUGUCGUGUUUUGUUUAAGUCGUUGUUAAUUAUCAUUUACAAUUUAAUUGAUCAACCGAUUCAGAAUGAGUUACUCUGUGGGUGGUGAUUUCUAUUUUUUCCAUUAAGUCAACACAUUUUAACGUCUUCUGGAAAUGUUCUAUUCUGCUUUCUGUUGAUUUGCCCUCCCCUGUUCUUGCUUACUCAGGUCAUCACCAUCACACCUUCCGAGCUGAUUAUUCUGUGAAGUCUCCUGGCUAUUCUAUUUCUUCCUCCCUCCUUCAGUCUUUAGCGAUCCUACACUUCCACAAACCAAGUCCCUGGAGUCUUGGAUUUUCUGCCACAUCCAUGAACCUUGGUGCCCUGCAAAAUCUACACCCUUCACAUUUCUUGACAGUAUUGAUUGUGCUGUGGACAGAGCCAAGACAACUGGAUUUCUAUGUUGAAUUUUGUGAAACACUUUUCCUCCAUCUAUUGAGAUGACGUGGUUUUCAUCUUUCAUUCGGUUCAAGUGGUAUAUCACAUUGAUUUGCUCGAAUAUGUUGAACCAUCCUUGCAUCCCAGAAAUAAGUGGCACUUGAAUAUCUACAAUCCUUUUUAUACCCUCUUGAAUAAAAUUUUCUAGUACAAGGGGUCUUCAAGAAGUUCAUGGAAAAAUAUGUAUUAUGAGAAAAUUGAGCAUGAAUUUCAUACUUUUUUUUGCAUGAAAAUAAAC